GACGAACGCUGGCGGCGUGCCUAAUACAUGCAAGUAGAACGCACAGGAUGCACCGUAGUUUACUACACCGUAUUCUGUGAGUUGCGAACGGGUGAGUAACGCGUAGGUAACCUGCCUGGUAGCGGGGGAUAACUAUUGGAAACGAUAGCUAAUACCGCAUAAGAACAUUUACUGCAUGGUAGAUGUUUAAAAGGUGCAAAUGCAUCACUACCAGAUGGACCUGCGUUGUAUUAGCUAGUAGGUGAGGUAACGGCUCACCUAGGCGACGAUACAUAGCCGACCUGAGAGGGUGAUCGGCCACACUGGGACUGAGACACGGCCCAGACUCCUACGGGAGGCAGCAGUAGGGAAUCUUCGGCAAUGGGGGGAACCCUGACCGAGCAACGCCGCGUGAGUGAAGAAGGUUUUUCGGAUCGUAAAAGCUCUGUUGUUAAAGGAAAGAAACG
rnacentral:rRNA from 1 species